UACGUAGGGGGCAAGCGUUGUCCGGAAUUAUUGGGCGUAAAGGGCUCGUAGGCGGUUUCUUAAGUCUGAUGUGAAAGCCCACAGCUCAACUGUGGAGGGUCAUUGGAAACUGGGGAACUUGAGUGCAGAAGAGGAGAGUGGAAUUCCACGUGUAGCGGUGAAAUGCGUAGAUAUGUGGAGGAACACCAGUGGCGAAGGCGGCUCACUGGACCGGUAUUGACGCUGAGGUGCGAAAGCGUGGGGAGCAAACAGG
rnacentral:rRNA from 1 species